GGUGGCUGUUUGCUCUCUUCAUCGUUAUCGUCAUCAUCAUCUUCAUCAUCUUGAUGUGUUUCAUACUGCAGAAAAGGAUCUUCAGAUGUUUUCCAAAGGCAGCACCGUCUGUCCAUCAGUGCAAUGAUUCAGGAAACAGGGAUCCUGAAUCUGGUGUCCAAAUAAAGGUCAGAUCUGAAUCUCUUGAUUCACUGAAUCACUCUGAAUCUGAUCAGUUCAAUGGCUCCGUGUCCAGAGGAUGAUCAGGAUCAACAUGAUUCUCUGGUCAUUUUGUUAUUGACUCAGGACUGAAGCGUCUCUGUCGUCUACAUCUGUUACAGUAUAAAUCACAAACUCAGGGAUAUCAGGCAUUUGCAACUCGCUUUUCUGCACUAAAUAAUGAAAUACUGAUGCCAGUUUCUUCAUUUCUGGUGUUUGAAAUCUCAGCAAGUUAUUUUUUUAAACAAUUGCAACAAUUUUGUAAACAAUUUUUAUAGCAAACAUAUUAUCAUACAACUCUGUAUGACGUAAGUUUCUUAUUUUCAAAUAAGAUAUAACAUAUUUUCUUAUCUAUGCAGUUUUACUUGUUCUUCUACCUGCCAGUGAUACUUCCACUGGAAAACUGUGCUGUUACUGAACUGAAUCAACACUGAAUCAAACUGAGCUGAUAAUGACUCUUUUAGAGCUGCUUUACUGAAUCUGUGUUUGUUUAGACCCAGAACAGAACUAAAGAGAUAAAUGACUAUCUGUGAUCAGUUCAAUUAAUAAAAAAAUGACAUUUCAUGUUCUGGUUCUGCCUAUUUUAGUGUUUUUGCUCCCCCUAUUGGUCAUUUUAUAUUCUACAGCUUAAAUUUAUAUCAUUCAGUUUCCGUUCUGAAGAACAACGGUAGCACAUGUUUAUUUUGCCGUGUCAUUCCAUUAUAUUAACAUCACUUAUGUUAAUAAUAGGCUCUGUCUGUCAAGUUUGAUUCGUUUUGAUUAUGCUGUUUUGUGUCGAAGAAGUAACUGUAUUUCUUAACAUAUUAUUUUUUACAUAUAUUAAAUUUAUGGUUCUGUUCAGAAUACAUCCAGACUACUGUUAAAGAUCUUUAGCAAUUAUGUCUCAGUAUAUUUGUGUGAACAUUUUGCAUGAUUAUCUCAUGUUAAAUAAUUGGACUCGACAUUCACCAUGUAAUGUUUUUUAUGUAUUCUUUUUAUUUUAUUUUACAGUUUUCAACUCAGUUUUCAAAUAAAAAAAAAUAAUGAUGUCUUUAGGCUUGUUCGACUUCAUGCAGCGCGACACCAUGUGACUGUGACGUAUAGCAUCAAAGUACUGCGAGAGCUGAAGGCACGGGUAUACUUCACUUUCUGCGCCCAGAUGCAUCUCGCUCGCAGUCGUGUCUGCGCAUCUUUCAAAUUAAACUCAACCGCG